AAGGUUCAGCAGUAAAUUUUGAAUGCGCCGCGCACGCGCAUUUCACUCCAACACGACCACGACAAGUUGGGCAGUUUCGGUGGUUUCGGUUUCGUAGCGAAGGUUGCGAAGCGAAGGUGUGAUGUCACGGCUCGCCGAAUCCUGCUAUUUUUGGUCACCCAGAGUGCAAAUUUAUCACGUUGUUCGUGAAAUGCAGCAAAUCGUCUUCCUGAGGUGAGGUGACAUUGCAGAUGGUUUGGUUAGUGCGAACGUCUCACGUCCCACCAUAGUCUCGUGUCGCGUCAUGACAGGUUACCGCAACGAUUUUCAACUUCGAAUUUUCCAUGUCAUAGCCGUAGCCCACGACCGUGCCGUAGCCAUCACACCGACAUGUGAUUUACCGUAAAAUUCAAUUUUCCUUUUCCCUCAAAGGCAUAUAUUGUAGAGCCUGUGGCCAGCUGUGGCUGCAACCGAGGUUAUGCUGCGACGGCUGCAACUACAGUUGCAACGGCGCCAAGUCGUUAGCGUUGAUUUGAGUGUAGUGCUGUCUUGAUCAUUAAUGUUGAGUCCUUUCACCACUUAUUUCACUCGGCGCAGCGCGCGCCGUAAUUGCAGCGUUCUUUUUUCUCUCUCGUUUCUUCCCCCUCACAUUUACCGCUAAAUGCAUCUGCAUUUCUAAAUACGACAUCUACGUUUUAUUACCGCGGUUUCCACGACCGUAUAAACACGUUUCUGCAUUUAUUUCGUGUGUCGAGAUAAUUGCUGCUCGCGUGAAUUCGUAGUCGAGCCCGUCGAUCCAUGACAAAAAGCUUCACGCACACUUCGUCGCGCAAAAAAUACUAGGGCCUGUGCUAGAGUUGCGGCUGUGAAAUGCUGCACGCCAACUCUUACAGGACAUCUACAACACCCAACCUGCGUGUUUCGAUGACCAACGAGCCAGCGACCGAAACAGGAGCAUGAACUACGAGGCGAACCGGGGCGAGCUUUCAAGAGCGCUUGAUUGCAGCGCCGACGCUGCAGGUGCGACCGCGCGCGUCAGCGGAGAGGUGCGGUCGUGCCACUGGAGCUGUGACAGAAUGCAGGCAGUGGAGGAACAAAAGGUGGCAACUAGAAGUCCUAAGCGAGAAGAAGAGGGCUCGCCAAAGAGCACGAAAUGCAGAGGCU